AAAUUGAAGAGUUUGAUCAUGGCUCAGAUUGAACGCUGGCGGCAGGCCUAACACAUGCAAGUCGAACGGUAACAGGAAGCAGCUUGCUGCUUCGCUGACGAGUGGCGGACGGGUGAGUAAUGUCUGGGAAACUGCCUGAUGGAGGGGGAUAACUACUGGAAACGGUGGCUAAUACCGCAUAACGUCGCAGGACCAAAGAGGGGGACCUUCGGGCCUCUUGCCAUCAGAUGUGCCCAGAUGGGAUUAGCUUGUUGGUGAGGUAACGGCUCACCAAGGCGACGAUCCCUAGCUGGUCUGAGAGGAUGACCAGCCACACUGGAACUGAGACACGGUCCAGACUCCUACGGGAGGCAGCAGUGGGGAAUAUUGCACAAUGGGCGCAAGCCUGAUGCAGCCAUGCCGCGUGUAUGAAGAAGGCCUUCGGGUUGUAAAGUACUUUCAGCGGGGAGGAAGGUGUUGUGGUUAAUAACCACAGCAAUUGACGUUACCCGCAGAAGAAGCACCGGCUAAC
rnacentral:rRNA from 1 species